AGCGAACGCUGGCGGCAGGCCUAACACAUGCAAGUCGAACGAAGCCUUCGGGCUUAGUGGCGGACGGGUGAGAAACACGUGGGAACGUACCUUUUGGUUCGGAAUAACGCAGAGAAAUUUGCGCUAAUACCGAAUGAGCCCUUCGGGGGAAAGAUUUAUCGCCGAAAGAUCGGCCCGCGUUGGAUUAGGUAGUUGGUGUGGUAAAGGCGCACCAAGCCUACGAUCCAUAGCUGGUCUGAGAGGAUGAUCAGCCACACUGGGACUGAGACACGGCCCAGACUCCUACGGGAGGCAGCAGUGGGGAAUCUUGCGCAAUGGGCGAAAGCCUGACGCAGCCAUGCCGCGUGAAUGAUGAAGGUCUUAGGAUUGUAAAAUUCUUUUACCAGGGACGAUAAUGACGGUACCUGGAGAAAAAGCCCCGGCUAACUUCGUGCCAGCCGCCGCCAGUAAUAC
rnacentral:rRNA from 1 species